rnacentral:rRNA from 1 species
AGCUCCAAUAGCGUAUAUUAAAGCUGUUGCGGUUAAAAAGCUCGUAGUUGGAUUUCUGUCAAGGACAACUGGUCCGCCCUCCGGGUGAGCACACAGCUUGGUCUUGGCAUCUUGCUGGAACCUGUGCUGUGCUUGGCUGUAUGGCACAGGGCUCAGCACUUUCAAUUUGAGGAAAUUGGAGUGUUUCAAGCAGGCACAUGCCUUUGGACACAGUAGCAUGGAAUAAUUAGAUUGGGCCUUUGCUCCAUCUUGUCGGUUUAUGGAGCUGAGGUGAGAAUUAAUGGGGAUUGUUGGGGGCAUCCGUAUUUAGCCGUCAGAGGUGAAAUUCUUGGAUCUGCUAAAGACGGACGACUGCGAAUGCGUUUGCCCAGGAUGUUUUCAUUGAUCAAGAACGAAAGUA